UGAGGAAUAUUGGUCAAUGGACGAGAGUCUGAACCAGCCAAAUCGCGUGAAGGAAGACUGCCCUACGGGUUGUAAACUUCUUUUGUACAGGAAUAAAAGACAUUACGUGUAAUGUAUUGCAUGUACUGUACGAAUAAGCAUCGGCUAACUCCGUGCCAGCAGCCGCGGUAAUACGGAGGAUGCGAGCGUUAUCCGGAUUUAUUGGGUUUAAAGGGUGCGCAGGCGGGAUUUUAAGUCAGCGGUGAAAUUUUCAGGCUCAACCUGAACACUGCCGUUGAAACUGGGAUUCUUGAGUAUGGAUGAAGUAGGCGGAAUUCGUUGUGUAGCGGUGACAUGCGUAGAUAUAACGAGGAACUCCGAUUGCGUAGGCAGCUUACUAAGCCAUAACUGACGCUCAAGCACGAAAGCGUGGGGAUCAAACA
rnacentral:rRNA from 1 species